rnacentral:rRNA from 1 species
UACGUAGGUGGCAAGCGUUUGUCCGGAAUUAUUGGGCGUAAAGCGUGCGCAGGCGGUUCGUUGUGUCGGUGGUGAAAUCCCCGGGCUUAACCUGGGAAUGGCCAUGGAAACUGGCGAACUGGAGUGCGGCAGAGGGGGGUGGAAUUCCGCGUGUAGCAGUGAAAUGCGUAGAGAUGCGGAGGAACACCGAUGGCGAAGGCAGCCCCCCUGGGCUAGCACUGACGCUCAGGCACGAAAGCGUGGGGAGCAAACAGG